CACCGCGGUUAAACGUGAUUAUGGCCCAAGUUGACAGCCUACGGCGUAAAGGGUGGUUAAGGAAAAAAACAAAACUAAAGCUAAAUGCCCCCCCCGGCUGUUAUACGCUCUCGGGGGUAAGAAAAUCAACAACGAAAGUGGCUUUAC
rnacentral:rRNA from 1 species